rnacentral:rRNA from 1 species
AUUGAACGCUGGCGGCAUGCUUUACACAUGCAAGUCGAACUGCAGCACGGACUUCGGUCUGGUGGCGAGUGGCGAACGGGUGAGUAAUACAUCGGAACGUGCCCAGUUGUGGGGGAUAACUACUCGAAAGAGUAGCUAAUACCGCAUGAGAACUGAGGUUGAAAGCAGGGGAUCGUAAGACCUUGCGCAACUGGAGCGGCCGAUGGCAGAUUAGGUAGUUGGUGGGAUAAAAGCUUACCAAGCCGACGAUCUGUAGCUGGUCUGAGGGGACGACCAGCCACACUGGGACUGGGACACGGCCCAGACUCCUACGGGAGGCAGCAGUGGGGAAUUUUGGACAAUGGGCGAAAGCCUGAUCCAGCAAUGCCGCGUGCAGGAUGAAGGCCUUCGGGUUGUAAACUGCUUUUGUACGGAACGAAAAGCUUCGGGUUAAUACCCUGGAGUCAUGACGGUACCGUAAGAAUAAGCACCGGCUAACUACGUGCCAGCCGCCGCGGUAAUAC